AUCGCUUCUUGGCCUUUUGAYUAAGAUCAAGUGUAAAUAUCUGUUCUUAUCAGUUUAAUAUCUGAUAGUUCCUUAUAAAGGAACCAUAUACAGUAYUAAGUUGAAUUUUGGACCAGGGAGAUGGACUUUGAGCUURCUCUAUYCUCUCCACACAUCAUCCUGGUAUUGCAGUAUUUUCUGGAAUGGUGUGCUUGCU
rnacentral:snRNA from 1 species